UUGUUACUCUCUCCGUUCCGAAUUACUUGUCUCUGAAAUGGAUGUAUCUAGAACUAAAAUACAUCUAGAUACAUCCAUACGUGCGACAAGUAAUUCGGAACAGAGGGAGUACUAU
rnacentral:pre_miRNA from 1 species